rnacentral:rRNA from 1 species
UCGAACGGUAACAGGAAGCAGCUUGCUGCUUUGCUGACGAGUGGCGGACGGGUGAGUAAUGUCUGGGAAACUGCCUGAUGGAGGGGGAUAACUACUGGAAACGGUAGCUAAUACCGCAUAACGUCGCAAGACCAAAGAGGGGGACCUUCGGGCCUCUUGCCAUCGGAUGUGCCCAGAUGGGAUUAGCUAGUAGGUGGGGUAACGGCUCACCUAGGCGACGAUCCCUAGCUGGUCUGAGAGGAUGACCAGCCACACUGGAACUGAGACACGGUCCAGACUCCUACGGGAGGCAGCAGUGGGGAAUAUUGCACAAUGGGCGCAAGCCUGAUGCAGCCCUGCCGCGUGUAUGAAGAAGGCCUUCGGGUUGUAAAGUACUUUCAGCGGGGAGGAAGGGAGUAAAGUUAAUACCUUUGCUCAUUGACGUUACCCGCAGAAGAAGCACCGGCUAACUCCGUGCCAGCAGCCGCGGUAAUACGGAGGGUGCAAGCGUUAAUCGGAAUUACUGGGCGUAAAGCGCACGCAGGCGGUUUGUUAAGUCAGAUGUGAAAUCCCCGGGCUCAACCUGGGAACUGCAUCUGAUACUGGCAAGCUUGAAGUCUCGUAGAGGGGGGUAGAAUU